UACCAGGGCUUGACAUGCGAGUGAAGCCGCGGAGACGCGGUGCCGAGAGGAGCUCGCGCAGGUGGUGCAUGNCUGUCGUCAGCUCGUGUCGUGAGAUGUUGGGUUAAGUCCCGCAACGAGCGCAACCCCCGUCCCGUGUUGCCAGCAUUCAGUUGGGGACUCGCGGGAGACUGCCGGCGUCAAGCCGGAGGAAGGUGGGGACGACGUCAAGUCAUCAUGCCCCUUAUGCCCUGGGCUUGCACACGUGCUACAAUGGCCGGUACAGAGGGUUGCCACCCCGCGAGGGGGAGCGGAUCCCGGAAAGCCGGUCCCAGUUCGGAUCGCAGGCUGCAACCCGCCUGCGUGAAGUCGGAGUUGCUAGUAAUCGCGGAUCAGCAUGCCGCGGUGAAUACGUUCCCGGGCCUUGUACACAC
rnacentral:rRNA from 1 species